rnacentral:lncRNA from 1 species
AGACAAGGUCAUCUAUGCUGGAGUGCAGUGGCGUGCUCUCGGCUCACUGCAACCUCCACCUCCCGGGUUCAAGCAAUUCUCAUCUCACCUUCCUGAGUAUCUGGAGUUGCAGCGUGAGCCACUGCGCCUGGCUAAUUGUUUUGUAUUUUUAUUAGAGUUAGGGUUUCACCAUGUUUGCCCGGCUGGUCGCAAACUCCCGGCUCCAAGUGAUCCGCCCGCCUUGGCCCCCAAAGUGCUGGGCUUGCAGAUGUGAGCUACUGUGCGCAGCCUUUAUAAACAAUUUUGAUAUAUGGUGAAAUUUCUCAAAGCUUGCUGAUCAUAGUGAAUUAUGCUGAUAAGAAUGGGAAACAAGAUUAUUGGGAAUAAAUUGAAAAAUAUUAAAUAGGUUUUUAUGCGUCAAGGGUAAAAAAAAUGUGUUUUGAGUAAAUGAUCUGAAAUACAGCAUGCUUUUUUGGUAAAAGCUUAGUAUAAUGUAGGGUGAAGUUAAGGCGUUGGCGAUAACCAGAAUCAUAAUUCUCAUUUUAAAUAAUGCUAUGCUACAUCUGCACAAAAUAGAUUAUGUAUAUUUUUGGCUGCUGUACCAUGAAAAUGAUGACUAAAACGAGGUCUAGAGAGGGAUAGUUUAAAAAUGAUGGGAAUUUUGCCUCCCCCUUUCCUUUUCCCAAAAAUACUAUUAGCUUGCCUAAUUUAACCUUUCACUUUUUUUAUCCCCAUCUUCCCCCACAAAAGAAAGGAAUAGAAAAGAAAAAUACGAAAGUGAAGAAAUAAGAACCUGCUCUAAAGUUAUUUCUUGGUCUGGGUUUCUUUAUGGAUCAUCUCUUAAUUAGCUUAAAAACAUUUGAUUGAAACCUAUUUUGGAAGUAUCUAUGGAAAGAAUUAAUCAUUACCUGAAAUACGUCUUUUCAUUCUUUUUCCUUGUUAUGUUGUAGUGAAAUUAUCACAAAGAGCAGAGAGUAAAUGCUGCUAACAGUUGGUGUAUAUCAAAUGUUUGUUUCUUUCUUGAGACUGAGUGCGUGUGUGUGUGUGUUAGAAUCGGGACUAUGUAACAAUAACUAUAGCAAAAUAUCUCUUAGUCCUAAGUUUUGGAAACCAGCUGAUUCUCUUAUUUACUGGUCUCUGUGCUAGGCUAGCUCCUCUCUCCCUUAGGUUUCCUGGCUACCUCGAGAGGAUCUGAAAUAAUAGUCUUGGAUGAUGUAUCAGUAAGGGUUUAACCAGAGAAGCAGAGCAAGUAGAUUUAUAUAUGAUUGUUAUGUAUUAAGAGAUUUAUUACAAGGAAUUUGGCUUACAUGAUUGUGAGGGCUGGCUAAGCAAGUGUGAAAUCUGUACGGCAGGCAGUUAGUGGGAGAAGAUUGUGGGCAAGGUGGAAUCCAUGGGCUUAGGCUGAAGCUGUUCUCCAUAGGCAGUCAGGAAGGGAAGAUACAGCGAAGAGAGAACAAUUGUAGACUCAGCUGCUGUUUGGAGUCUCAUUUGCUCGGAAGAACCUGAUCUCUUUUAAGAGCUCACCUGACUAGGUCAGGCUCACUGAGGAUGAUCACCCUGGCUUAAAGUCAGUUGAUUAGGAACUUCAAUUACAUCUGCAAAAUCCCCUCACAGCAGUACCUAGAUUAGCAUUUGACUGAAUAAUUGAGAGAAGGUAUUUGUGCUACAAAAUGUCUGCUGUCCUGUCUUCUUUCUAAGAAGAAACCAUUACAGGUGGAAAAGCAACACUCUUAACUUGAUCUUUGCUACUACCUGACAGAGAACCCUUGAACUCACAAAGUUAUUUCCUGGUAUUUAGAGCACAGAAGCAGCUGCCUUUUCCAUCCUGGGAGGCCCCAAAUUACUGGACUCUUGUAGGUCGGAGUUUGCCACUGAGAAAGCUUCUUUUUAGUAGCACUGUUUUCAUGUCUGUCUCUGCUUGCAAACUGCUUUAUAGGUGAAUUGAUCUUUCUUGUUGAUCUUUAAAUAGCCAACACACCAUAUUUCGAGUUUUUCUAACUGCUUUUCUUAGAACUACAAACUUAGUAGGCAUAUGAUGUGCCCUUCCAAUUAUUGCAGGCAAGAGUUUUACUAAAUGUUCUGCAACUGUAUAGCACAGAUCAUUAGAUCUCCAGCCUGAGAUGUUUCCUUGCUACCUGUUCUCUAAGCCUUACCAGAGAUUUUAGGAGUUUGUUAGAGCAGCGUGUCAUUUCCAAUUAACUGUAUUAGUUAAGUUUUUUGCCUUAACUGACCUAAUAUGUUAGCAUGGUUUGGUAUCUUAGAAGGCAGUUCUCACUCAUUGAGCUUCUUUCUCAAGAGUUUUGGAUAUUGUUCAUUUAACAUGUCAGACAUGCUUUAGAAUCAUCUUUUUCUUAUAUGUUGUGUUUUUAACCUUAUUGGCCACUGAAAUGUUAGAAAGAAGUUAGAAUUCUAGUACAGAAGUACUUUUAUGAAGAAAAUAUAAGCAAUGCCAGCAUCUAUAUAGUGUUCUUACUGAUUUGAUGAUGCCCUUAGGUUGUCUUUGAACUUGAAAAUCUCUAUACAUUAUUAUUGCAGGACCUAUAAACUAUGACUGUUGUGUAGUUCUCUUGCACUAUCUUUCCAAUGUUCUUUGAAGAACUGUUUCACUGUUUAUUUUAUCUAUUUCAAAUGAACUAGGAGUAAUUUAAAACUUACAUAGUUGCUGUUCAGAAAAUGUCAAAAAAGAAGAGCUUGUAUAAGAUACAAUGUAGAUAAAUUUAAUUCUAUUGAGGGGGUAAUAUCCUUUUAAGAUACAAUGUAGAUAAAUUUAAUUCUAUUGAGGGGGUAAUAUCCUUUAAACCAAACUUGUCUAAAGUUUUCACCAAAUGUUAAACUGUGAGUAAUGUUUUCUUUUUAUUUAUCCAUUUGAUUUUUUUAUAUUGGAGGAAUCUUAAAAUUGCAGUAUCUUUUUCCACUUUUAUUAAAUCAUAUAGUAACUGUGAACUGAAAAUUUAAACAGUAGAGGAAGAUACAGAGUAAGAGUUGAAGAUUUUUUAUAUCCCUAGGUGUAAAUUAUCUGUAUGAAUACCGUCUUACUCAAAUUUAUGUAUAGUGACCUAUCCCCAAGUAGGAUAACCAGAGAGAAAUGAUGGAGUAAGGAGGGUUAUGGAAGACCUCCUUACUCCAAAACACUUUACCUGAAUGUAGCUAGUUAAUACUGCUCUGUUUUAUUUCAUCUUGUUUCCCUAACUCCUGUCUUGGGAACAUUCAUGGAUUAAUCUUGGGAUGGAUUUCAUAGGUGGAAUAAAUGGGAAUGUCACUCUUCAAUAUUUCUGAAACAUCAAAUCAAAAUACAUACCUUGUAGAUUACCUCUUACAGUAAGUGCUCAAAAUGUGAAGUGGGAAGAAUGCUGUUUUAGACCCUCCUAUACCUCUUAAUUCAUGCUGUUAGAAUCAACCUAGAAAAUGUAUAAAAUGGGCUUAAUUAUAGUUAUG